GGAAAAUGAGGAGCAACCGUGACGGGCGCUUGGCAGUGUCAGAGAGGCAGUUGUUCCGGGUUCUACGGUUGUUCUGGGUUUCCUCGUCGAGGUGAGAUCGAACACUCCAACUGAGGGUGACAGAGACGUUGUCGAGUAAUAUGAUCAUACGAAGAAUGAUUCUACUGUGGUAUCUCCUGGUGCACACUGCGCUCUCCAAUGCUCAAGAACCUGAAAUUGCAGUCACCGACGCUGGGGAUGCGGUAGUGAAGCCAAGUCUCUACUGCGACCUCGCGAGCGUCGCUGAGAUCUCCAAGUCUGUCAAAAGCACUGCUGUGGAACAAGUGGCUGAAUCCCUGGGCAUCACAGACGAAGAUUUGACAUCUGUUCCUUCCGGGAUCAGCAACUGUUGCUCCUCCAGCCUCUCGUGUUACUUCAGAGGAGGAAUCUGCUUGCCCUCUUGGCUGAAUAUCUUCUUCUCUUGCUCUGAAGCGAAUCUUUGCUACAGCAGCUCUUGCACCUGCUUCAAGCCUAGGGACUCUUGCACAUCCUGUGGAGGCUCCCUUGCGGGAGCGGUGGCACCUGUCGUUCAAGUUGCAUUUACCCGGAGGUAGCAGCUCCUUACAACUGCGGGAUAGUGCCUGGAUGUACUUGCUGCAUGAAGUGUCCCUCUACCUGUAGCGGCGGAGGAACUUGCAGGACUGUUUGCAACAGAGGCGAGACAGACACCGGAGCGUGCAAUGACCUGCAGGCGUGUCGUUGCUGUAAGAAAAUUACGAGGUGCUGGGGCCAGGCUUGUGGGAGAUAUGGAUACUGCAGUGACUACUGUUAUGAUUAUCAACUUGCGUCGGCCAAGAGGGCAGCACCUGCUGUUGAUAUUUGGUAUUUCCGAUGCCCUAAGGGCUGCCAGUGCUGUCCGUAUGGUCUGUAUGACAGACCGUAUCCUAUAGAUCUUGAGCCUGUGGAGACCUGUGGAGCCUGCGGAGCCUUUGUGAAUGCAAGCAGUUCUAGGGUUGCCUGUGUCUUCCUGUUACAGAAUUUUCCCCUUCUUCUUUUGAGGAUGGAUAGCAUCGUUUUAAUGGCUAAAUCUCACAGUAUACGAGUAUACUCUAUACUGUAGAAGUGUUUUAUCCUGCUAGGUAUUCAGGGCAGCAUAUCAAGAGGAAAAAAUAUAAAAAUGAAUAUCUGAAAGCAGACAUUUUUGACUACUGCACUCACUUCAGUUCCCGAAUUUCAAUCUAGUAAACAUUUAACAACUUUUCUAGGACCUCAAACUUCUUAUACAUAGUUGCAAUUACUUUUAUUCUCAACCUUUAGAUUAAAAUAAUUUUAAAAAUUUUUUACAUUUUUUUAACAUAAAAAUUCAGUGCCAGGUUUAUCCUACUGCCAAGAACACUUAAUUACUUCAUUUACAUACACAUAGUUUAGAUAGAUAGGUUAGAGCCAGUAACCCGUUUGUGGGGGUGGGGGGGGGGGGGGGGAUGGAAUUUUGUAAGGGAAGACUACAGCAAACAGGGUCAUACCCACUUGCAACCUUGAUUAUGACGCUUGCAUCAUGAAUCAUGAAUAAAAUUAUCAA